rnacentral:rRNA from 1 species
UUUUAUGGAGAGUUUGAUCCUGGCUCAGGAUGAACGCUGGCGGCGUGCCUAAUACAUGCAAGUCGAGCGAACGGACGAGAAGCUUGCUUCUCUGAUGUUAGCGGCGGAUGGGUGAGUAACACGUGGAUAACCUACCUAUAAGACUGGGAUAACUUCGGGAAACCGGAGCUAAUACCGGAUAAUAUUUUGAACCGCAUGGUUCAAAAGUAAAAGACGGUCUUGCUGUCAC